rnacentral:rRNA from 1 species
UCCAGACUCCUACGGGAGGCAGCAGUGGGGAAUAUUGCACAAUGGGGGAAACCCUGAUGCAGCAACGCCGCGUGGGUGAAGGAGCGUUUCGGCGCGUAAAGCCCUGUCAGCGGGGAAGAAGAAAGACGGUACCUGACUAAGAAGCCCCGGCUAACUACGUGCCAGCAGCCGCGGUAAUACGUAGGGGGCAAGCGUUAUCCGGAUUUACUGGGUGUAAAGGGAGCGUAGACGGCACUGCAAGUCCGGAGUGAAAGCCCAAGGCUUAACCAUGGGACUGCUCUGGAAACUGUGGAGCUUGAGUGCGGGAGGGGCAGGCGGAAUUCCUAGUGUAGCGGUGAAAUGCGUAGAUAUUAGGAGGAACACCGGCGGCGAAGGCGGCCUGCUGGACCGUAACUGACGUUGAGGCUCGAAAGCGUGGGGAGCAAACAGGAUUAGAUACCCGAGUACC